GACGAACGCUGGCGGCGUGCUUAACACAUGCAAGUCGAACGGAGUGGCGAACGGGUGAGUAACACGUGGGUGAUCUGCCUUGCACUUCGGGAUAAGCUUGGGAAACUGGGUCUAAUACCGGAUAGUGCAAGAUGAGCUCGCGGCCUAUCAGCUUGUUGGUGGGGUAAUGGCCUACCAAGGCGUCGCAGGGUAGCCGGCCUGUGAUGGUGUACGGCCACAUUGAGACUGAUAAUCGGCCGAAGCUCCUAGGGGAGGCAGCAGUGGGGAUUAUUGCACAAUAGGCGGCAGCCUGAUGCAGCGCAGCCGCGUGGGGGAUGAAGGCCUUCGGGUUGUAAACUCCUUUCGACAGGGACGCGGUACCUGUAUAAGAAGCACCGGCUAACUACGUGCCAGCAGCCACGGUAAUUC
rnacentral:rRNA from 1 species